AGACGCUUUGUAGAGAACGUUGAAACUCGUGUCUAUGCAUGUAGGGACGUUUUAUUUGACACGUUUCACUCACGUCCCUACUAAUAGUUUGGCACGCUCAAUUUACGUUGCAACAAAUGUAGAGACGCUUUUACAAAUUUGGACUAGCCCAUCUCGUGAGUUAGUAUUGGGUUGGGUUUUUUUUUGAAAGGGUACUGGGUUGGGUUUUAGGCCCACCAUUCUGCCGGCUACAAAUUUGGCCUAGCCCAUCUCGUGAGCUAGUAUUAGGUUGGGUUUUUUUUAAAGGGUACUGGGUUGGGUUUUAGGUCCACCAUUCUGCCAGCCCAACUUACUUUAGAAUUCAUUGCACGGGCCAAGCCCAUUUCCAGAAAAAAAAUAUUUGUGCAGAAUAUUUUAAAUUAGAAAUCUUCUAGGAAAACGUUAUUUUCUGUUUAAAUUUGGAAUUGUUUUUUUCUUAAUUUUGAUGACGCACGUUCGCACAAUAAGUUGUACGAAGACAGGAGUAUAUGAUCUGCAUCUUCGUUUCAUGACCUUGUUCACACUCAGUUGUGCAAAGACAAAGUACAUAAUCUAAAUGUCCAUUUCAUAUAUGACCAUAUUCUCAUGACAAGACUAACAAAUACUAGAGCUUUGAAUUGACUGCAGCAACAA
rnacentral:lncRNA from 1 species